rnacentral:rRNA from 1 species
GAGUUUGAUCCUGGCUCAGAUUGAACGCUGGCGGCAGGCCUAACACAUGCAAGUCGAGCGGCAGCACAAGGGAGUUUACUCCUGAGGUGGCGAGCGGCGGACGGGUGAGUAAUGCCUGGGAACUUGCCCAUUCGAGGGGGAUAACAGUUGGAAACGACUGCUAAUACCGCAUACGCCCUACGGGGGAAAGAGGGGGAUCUUCGGACCUCUCGCGAAUGGAUAGGCCCAGGUGGGAUUAGCUAGUAGGUGAGGUAAAGGCUCACCUAGGCGACGAUCCCUAGCUGUUCUGAGAGGAUGGACAGCCACACUGGAACUGAGACACGGUCCAGACUCCUACGGGAGGCAGCAGUGGGGAAUAUUGGACAAUGGGGGAAACCCUGAUCCAGCCAUGCCGCGUGUGUGAAGAAGGCCUUCGGGUUGUAAAGCACUUUCAGUGGGGAGGAAAAGCUGAUGGUUAAUACCUAUCAGCUGUGACGUUACCCACAGAAGAAGCACCGGCUAACUCCGUGCCAGCAGCCGCGGUAAUACGGAGGGUGCAAGCGUUAAUCGGAAUUACUGGGCGUAAAGCGUGCGCAGGCGGUCUGUUAAGCGAGAUGUGAAAGCCCCGGGCUCAACCUGGGAACUGCAUUUCGAACUGGGCAGACUAGAGUCUUGUAGANGGGGGGUAGAAUUCCAGGUGUAGCGGUGAAAUGCGUAGAGAUCUGGAGGAAUACCGGUGGCGAANGCGGCCCCCUGGNACAAAGACUGACGCUCANGCACGAAAAGCGUGGGGGAGCAAACAAGGAUUAGAUACCCCUGGGUAGUCCACGCCCGUAAACCGAUGUCUACUCCGGANUUUGGGUGUCUUGAACACCUGGGGCUUCUUCAAGGCUAACGCA